AUUGAACGCUGGCGGCAUGCUUUACACAUGCAAGUCGAACGGCAGCGCGGGCUUCGGCCUGGCGGCGAGUGGCGAACGGGUGAGUAGUACAUCGGAACGUGCCCAGUAGUGGGGGAUAGCUCGGCGAAAGCCGGAUUAAUACCGCAUACGACCUGAGGGUGAAAGCGGGGGAUCUUCGGACCUCGCGCUAUUGGAGCGGCCGAUGGCAGAUUAGCUAGUUGGUGGGGUAAAGGCCUACCAAGGCGACGAUCUGUAGCUGGUCUGAGAGGACGACCAGCCACAAUGGGACUGAGACACGGCCCCGACUCCUACGGGAGGCAGCAGUGGGGAAUUUUGGACAAUGGGCGAAAGCCUGAUCCAGCAAUGCCGCGUGUGUGAUGAAGGCCUUCGGGUUGUAAAGCACUUUUGGCGGGAACGAAAAGGACUGUGCCAAUACCACGGUUCGAUGACGGUACCCGCAGAAUAAGCACCGGCUAACUACGUG
rnacentral:rRNA from 1 species